AUGGAGUCGCAGAUUAAGCAUGCUGUUGUUGUGAAAGUUAUGGGACGUACCGGAUCAAGAGGACAGGUGACUCAGGUUAGAGUGAAGUUUUUGGAUGAUCAGAAUCGUCACAUCAUGAGGAAUGUGAAGGGACCAGUUAGGGAGGGAGACAUUCUCACCCUACUUGAGUCUGAGAGAGAAGCAAGAAGACUCAGAUAG